rnacentral:rRNA from 1 species
CCUACGGUGAGCUGCAGUGGGGGAUAUUGCACAAUGGGGGGAACCCUGAUGCAGCGACGCCGCGUGUGGGCAGACGGUCCUCUGGCUUGUAAACCACUGUCCCCAGGGACGAAAAUGACGGUACCUGGGGAGGAAGCUCCGGCUAACUACGUGCCAGCAGCCGAGGUAAUACGUAGGGAGCGAGCGUUGUCCGGAAUUAAUGGGUGUAAAGGGAGCGUAGGCGGGGAUGCAAGUUAGGUGUCAAAACUACCGGCUCAACUGGUAGUCGCACUCAAAACUGCAGCUCUUGAGUGAAGUAGAGGCAGGCGGAAUUCCUAGUGUAGCGGUGAAAUGCAUAGAUAUUAGGAGGAACACCAGUGGCGAAGGCGGCCUGCUGGGCUUUUACUGACGCUGAGGCUCGAAAGUGUGGGGAGCAAACAGGAUUAGAUACCCGGGUAGUC